rnacentral:rRNA from 1 species
UACGUAGGGGGGCAAGCGUUUGUCCGGAAUCAUUGGGCGUAAAGAGCGCGUAGGCGGCCCAGUAAGUCCGCUCUGGAAAGUCAGGGGCUCAACCCCUGAAUGCGGGUGGAUACUGCUGGGCUAGAGUCCGGAAGAGGCGAGUGGAAUUCCUGGUGUAGCGGUGAAAUGCGCAGAUAUCAGGAGGAACACCGAUGGCGAAGGCGGGUCUCUGGGCAGUAACUGACGCUGAGGAGCGAAAGCGUGGGGAGCGAACAGG